rnacentral:rRNA from 1 species
AGUGAACGCUGGCGGUAGGCCUAACACAUGCCAGUCGAACGGCAGCACAGUAAUAGCUUGCUCUUACGGGUGGCGAGUGGCGGACGGGUGAGGAAUACAUCGGAAUCUACUUUUUCGUGGGGGAUAACGUAGGGAAACUUACGCUAAUACCGCAUACGACCUACGGGUGAAAGCAGGGGAUCUUCGGACCUUGCGCGAUUGAAUGAGCCGAUGUCGGAUUAGCUAGUUGGCGGGGUAAAGGCCCACCAAGGCGACGAUCCGUAGCUGGUCUGAGAGGAUGAUCAGCCACACUGGAACUGGGACACGGUCAAGACUCCUACGGGAGGCAGCAGUGGGGAAUAUUGGACAAUGGGCGCAAGCCUGAUCCAGCCAUACCGAGUGGGUGAAGAAGGCCUUCGGGUUGUAAAGCCCUUUUGUUGGGAAAGAAAAGCAGCAGGUUAAUACCCCGCUGUUCUGACGGUACCCAAAGAAUAAGCACCGGCUAACUUCGUG